UAUCACCAAAAAGGCUCUUUAUGAAGUUUCCAUACAACGUUAACAUGAUUUGACCAAGAGUGAAAUGGCGGAUAUUUCCUACUUGCCGUAGUUAUGAUGUGGGACACAUUUUUGCUUAGUUCAGGUUCAAUAACUACUGUACUUCAGAACUUGAACCUCAUCCUUGCAUCCUUCAAGAUCAUGUGCACAUUUUUGGUGGUAACAAGAAUAAAAUCUGGGAUUGGAAAGCUGUGUUUGAGAUCCUUGAAGAUGAUGUUCACCUCCACUCAUUUAAUACCUGCAGAGACAGCUGCUGCUGACACUUCCACAACUGCACUCAGACUUAUCAGAACAUUUCUCAGAGACUGUG